rnacentral:rRNA from 1 species
UACGAAGGGGGCUAGCGUUGCUCGGAAUGACUGGGCGUAAAGGGCGUGCAGGCGGUCUGAUAAGUUCGGCGUGAAAUAUUCCGGCUUAACCGGGAUAGGUCGUCGGAGACUGUCGGACUAGAGGGUGAUAGAGGCGUGUGGAAUUCCGGGUGUAGUGGUGAAAUGCGUAGAGAUCCGGAGGAACACCAGUGGCGAAGGCGACACGCUGGGUCACACCUGACGCUAAAGCGCGACAGCAUGGGGAGCGAACGGG